rnacentral:lncRNA from 1 species
UUGUAUAUGAGAAUUCAAAUACAAGAAAAGACUAAGUGCAUGAGUUUUACUUGUUAGGAUCACAUAAUUAACCGUAUUCCGAACCACUAAAACACUAAGAAAUACUACAAUGCUUUCUCCCAGUGACAAUACUCCUUCAUUAGCUGAUAACAACAGUGUGCAAUCCUGCACUCUCAAAAGACUCCUCAAAAUACAUAAUUUCCAUCCAACACUAGAAAUAACAGACUUCACUCCAAGGAAUCUGAUUUCACAGAAUUUCUGUAAUCACCAACUUCUUUUGUCCAAAAUACACACAACUCUCAAUAAACAACAAUCAUAAUCUUCCAAUAACUCCUCAUAUAAUUCAAACACUCAGUAUUUCAAUUACAUAAUUAAUAACUCAUAAAUCAAUCUAUGAUUUAUUCCACAGACUCACUUCUCAGUAUUCA